UGCCACCUCGGCGGCGGCUCAAACAGCAAUCCGAGCGGACAGAAGGGAGCUUGCUCCCGGUAGUUAGCGGCGGACGGGUGAGUAACACGUGGGUAACCUGCCUGUAAGACUGGGAUAACUCCGGGAAACCGGAGCUAAUACCGGAUAGUUCCUUGAACCGCAUGGUUCAAGGAUGAAAGACGGUUUCGGCUGUCACUUACAGAUGGACCCGCGGCGCAUUAGCUAGUUGGUGGGGUAAUGGCUCACCAAGGCGACGAUGCGUAGCCGACCUGAGAGGGUGAUCGGCCACACUGGGACUGAGACACGGCCCAGACUCCUACGGGAGGCAGCAGUAGGGAAUCUUCCGCAAUGGACGAAAGUCUGACGGAGCAACGCCGCGUGAGUGAUGAAGGUUUUCGGAUCGUAAAGCUCUGUUGUUAGGGAAGAACAAGUGCGAGAGUAACUGCUCGCACCUUGACGGUACCUAACCAGAAAGCCACGGCUAACUACGUGCCAGCAGCCGCGGUAAUACGUAGGUGGCAAGCGUUGUCCGGAAUUAUUGGGCGUAAAGGGCUCGCAGGCGGUUUCUUAAGUCUGAUGUGAAAGCCCCCGGCUCAACCGGGGAGGGUCAUUGGAAACUGGGAAACUUGAGUGCAGAAGAGGAGAGUGGAAUUCCACGUGUAGCGGUGAAAUGCGUAGAGAUGUGGAGGAACACCAGUGGCGAAGGCGACUCUCUGGUCUGUAACUGACGCUGAGGAGCGAAAGCGUGGGGAGCGAACAGGAUUAGAUACCCUGGUAGUCCACGCCGUAAACGAUGAGUGCUAAGUGUUAGGGGGUUUCCGCCCCUUAGUGCUGCAGCUAACGCAUUAAGCACUCCGCCUGGGGAGUACGGUCGCAAGACUGAAACUCAAAGGAAUUGACGGGGGCCCGCACAAGCGGUGGGAGCAUGUGGUUUUAAUUUCGAAGCAACGCGAAGAAACCUUACCAGGUCUUGACAUCCCUCUGACAACCCUAGAGAUAGGGGCUUUUCCCUUCGGGGACAGAGUGACAGGUGGUGCAUGGUUUGUCGUCAGCUCGUGUCCGUGGAGAUGGUUGGGUUUAAGGUCCCGGCAACGAGCGCAGCCCUUGGAUUCUACUGCAGCCAUUCCAGUUGAGACACCUUCUAU
rnacentral:rRNA from 1 species